rnacentral:lncRNA from 1 species
AAGGUAAACGCGUAGAACUGUUUCACUUCAACUCUAUUAUGAGCUUGCACAGAAAUAUUCAUUUCUUUCGAGUUGUAGGAUCUAGUUAUAGAGGCUGUUGUGCGCUAACAUUUCUAAAUUAGAAACACAUACUAAGGGUGGAGUUUGAUCAGCAGGAGAAUGGCAGAAAGUGCCGCAAGAGAGGGGGGAAUUCCGUGUGUUCGUUUAGCAUGAGUGUAGUGAAAAAUCCAAGAAAAUAAAGAGUUUCGUACAACCCACAUAGGCAUGCAAAGCAAAAAACACCAGAAAAUGCAAAACGAGGUUAUCUAUAAUUUGGAUUUCAAGUUUACCCCUAUUUUCUUAAAUCUUAGUCCUGAGGAAGUUAUUUUUGUUUCAACGGACCAAGGCCAAUUUAGGCAAAUACAAUUUUUUCCCCAAAACUUUCUUGCAAAUUUUUCAUCCUAAUCGAAUGCACGUGCAAGAAAAUAAAUUUUAUUUUCAUUCCCUUUCUUUCACUUCAUUUUUUAUCAUUUCUAUGUUCCAGCAUUCUUUUCUUCCUAAUCAAACGGACCUUAAGGUCUGUCUGCCACUAGAAAAUAUAUAUGUUGAACUAAUAAUAUACGAUUCAA